UUAGUUGCAAUCCGCCGGGCAGUUCCAAAAGAAACGGAGAAAUCCAACGUGAACAGCUGCAACUCCCGUCAUCGGUUCAACUGGAUUACAACGACCCUGCAAAUUCAACUGGCGCUACUUAAAUAAUCGACAUAGAAAAAUGCGGCUCGACUAUAAAAUGACGACCCACUUGGGCGUUUGAAUUCCUAAACCCCCACGUCUGAUCUCCUAGAUAAAAAAUGAAGUUCCUUCCGAUUCUCUUCCUUCUGGUUGCCGUCUGCCUGGUUGUCGCCAUGGAGGCCCAAACAACCAAGAAACCAACACCUGCAACGACCACCAGCAAGACACCAACAACAACUGCCAAGACAACUGUUAAAUCAACAACAUCGAAGACAACGACAACCACCAAACCGUGUCCAGUAGUACCACCGUUAGAACGUCGUCCACUAAACCUGCCACGACGACAACAACAGCCAAACGGACAACUGCCAAGACAACAACGUCAGUCAAAACAACCGCACGAACGACGACAUCCCUGAAGCACCGCAAACAACAUCGCAGAAAACAAUCAGCACAAAAUCCAACACCCCCGCCAGGACAAAAGCUGCACCAACAACAACGUCAAUUCCUUCACCGGCUCUUUUUGAUUGUUCAGUUUCCGAUCCAGCCUGCGGAACUAUGUGCACCAAUCUGACGUCAACGGGAGGUGUUGUCCAUUCUCCCAAUUUCCCCGGCGACUACGGGAAUGAUUAAUUCAGGAUUUGCGAAGUCGAUCGUUGUCGUGCCAGCAGGAAAGAAAAUCCAAUUGACAUUCACCAUCUUUAAUGUGGAGACUGACUACGGUCAUGUUUAUGUUAGCGACAGAUACACGGAUUUAUUAUAUGGGCCAACCGGCCACGGGUCCGGAAGAACAAUUCAGUCACCACAGCAUCCACCAUCAUGUUUAUACAGUUUGUUACCUAUGCCACUACUAAACCCAAACCCACAAUCUAUAAUUGGCAGGUGACUUACACUGCUGUCGCGAUCAAUAAGGGUAAUACAACCACAACGACAUCUACGGUGCCAACGACUGUAAAAUAAAUGGCUUUGCUUCUCGUUUGAUCGACGCUGAUCGACAGUCCUGAUUAAAUGAACCAUUGAACAGGUGAGAAACGUCCUGCAGCAGUCACAAUGCCAUCAGUGAACCACCAUGACGCUCCCUGUGCUCUUUAACACUCAGCGUCAACUGCUUUAUUAUUAAUUGGCCCAAAAAUAAUUACCUAACUGUGUGCACUAUAACUACAAGUAAUAAACUCUUGUAUUUAACCA
rnacentral:lncRNA from 1 species